AUGAAAUUAAAAUUAUUAAAUAUAAUUUUAUCAAUAAUAAAUAAACUUAAUAAUAAUAAUAAUAUUAUUAUUAAUAAUCUAUUAGAUUCAUUAAUAAAUAAGAAAUUAUUAUUAAAGAAUAUAUUAUUAGAUAUAAAUAAUAAAAAAAUAAAUAAUAUAAAAAGAAUAUUAAAUAAUAAUAAUAUAAAUAUUAAUAAUAAAUUACAACAUUUAAAUAAUAUAAAUAAUUGAAAUCUACAAAUUUAUAAUUAUAAUAAAAAUAUAGAAAUUAUAAAUACUAUAAAUGAUAAAUUAAUUAAUAAAUUAUUAUAUAAAAUAAUAACUUUAAAAUUAAAUAAUAUAAAUAUUAAUAAAAUUAUUAUAAGUAAACUUAUUAAUCAACAUAGUUUAAAUAAAUUAAAUAUUAAAUUUUAUUAUUAUAAUAAUGAUAUUAAUAAUAAUAAUAAUAAUAAUAAUAAUAAUAAUAAUUAUUAUAUAAAUAUAAUAAAUAAAUUAAUAAAUAUUAUAAAUAAUAAUAUAAAUAAUAAUUUAUGUAAUAUUUUAAGUUAUUAUUAUAAUAAAAAAGUAACUAUUGAACCUAUUAAAUUAUCAUAUAUUUAUUUAAAUAGUGAUAUUUUUAGUAAAUAUAUUAGUUUAAAUGAUAUAGAUAAAUAUAAUAAUGGUAUCUUAACUAAUUAUCAACGUAUAUUAAAUAAUAUUAUGCCUAAAUUAAAUGAUCAUAAUAUUUCUAUAAAUUAUAUUAAUAAUAUUAAUAAUAUUAAUAAUAAUAAAUAUAAUAAUAUAAUUAAUUUAUUAAAUAAUAAUAAUAAUAAUAAUAAUAAUAAUAUUAAUAAUAAUAAUAAUUAUAAUAAUAAUAAUAAUAAUUAUAUUGGUAAUAUUAAUAAUAUUUAUAAUAAUAUAACUAUUGAUAAUAUUCCUAUAGAUAUUUUAAUAUAUAAAUAUUUAGUUGGUUGAUCUAUUAAAUUUAAAGGUAGAUUAAGUAAUAAUAAUGGUAGAACUAGUACACUUAAUUUAUUAAAUGGUACUUUUAAUAAUAAAAAAUAUUUAUGAAGUAAUAUUAAUAAUAAUUAUAAAUUAAAUUAUAUCCCUUCUAAUCAUAAUUUAUAUAAUAAUUCUAAUAUUAAUAAAAAUGGUAAAUAUAAUAUUAAAGUUAAAUUAAACUUUAUUUAA
rnacentral:rRNA from 1 species